GCUUUGUCAGGUUUUUGCUGGUUGUUGUGCUCCUUUGGUUGUGUUUCUUGGUUCGUUAUUUCUGGAGUGUCACCUAAAACUGUGAGCUUGUACUUGCUAGGGCUUAAUUCUGCAUUAAAUUCUAAUAAUUUUUAUUUAAAUAUUCAAUACUAAGCAAGAAGUUCGUUAAUAAUUAGUGUUAGGGCAGUAAUUUGACUGUUUUUAGUUCGAUGGAGAUUCUCAAAAUCUGUGUGUCGCUUGGCUUUGCCAAUAACAGCAGGCCAGUUUUGCUUUAUUUCAUUGGCUCUUGAAAUAGUAAUGUAGCCUGUAGGACAACUGUGCGUUUGAGCGGUAAUAUAUUGGCAUUAUGUAGAGAAAAUCUUUGUGAGAAACUGUCAAGAAAUGUCGAUUGGUUAUUUUGUUGAAGAAAAGUAAAGAGUAAAAGGGACUUGAAUUUUGUUGCUAAGAAGAAAUCAACGUUUACUAAAAUAUCAGGAAAUUCAAAUACCAGUGGCGAGGAUGAGAAAAGAGGAUUUCAUAAACUUAAAGUAAUAAGGAAGCUAAGUAACCUAAAACCGAUAUAAUUUAGCAAUAAACUGUAAUUUUAGUAACAAAAAAAAUUUAAGUGAUUAAAAAAACCUGAAGUUAAAAUAACAUGAUAAUAAUUAUUCUAUAUACUUUAUCGAUAGAGUUAAGAUAAGGUGGGUGGGUGGGUGUAUAAUUUCUUUGUUUUGCCUUGUAGAUAUUCUUACAAGAAUUUUGUGGCAGAUUUGAGUUUUUGUAAGCGCAUUGAGAUCCAACUGAAUCCUGUGACGCUGAAUUCUAGUAAUUCAAGAAGAAAUUUUGGUAUAUUCCCUAAAUUGGAAAGUAUAUAAAUCAUAGUUUUUAAAUACAGUAGUAAUGGUAAGCGAUUCUAAUACUUUUAAAAUGCUCUGUUUAAUAUAUCUAAUUAAAUCCUACAAAACUAGUAUAUAGUAUAUAUAAUAAUUGUAUAUUGAAUGCAAGUUUUUCUUGUUUGGAGGGUGGGAGGCAAAAUUUUGUUUGUCUUUAUAUAGAAUGUUCUACCUGUGGAGAAUAUUGCCAAGUGUAGCUGCAAGAGUAGCCUUUUUAGUGAGAUUCAUGCAGGUCAUGUCAGGAGAGAUUGAACUGGUUACCAAUCUUAAACAGGUUCACCAAUCUUAAACUGGUUACCAAUCCUAAACAAGUUCACCAAUCUUAAACAGUUUCAGCAAGCCUAAACAGUUUCACCAAUCCUAAGCAGGUUGUAAUGACUGUCGCUUCAAACCUUCUGGCCAUUCUUUUCCAUCUGAGUAUUUGGUUUUUUUUCUCUUUGGUUAAAUUUCCUGACGAUAAUGCAUAACUAAAAUGGUUUUCCCGCGGCUAAUCAUAGGCAUAGUAACCCACAACGUAAAUCAGUAAUUUAUUAAAAUUAAUAUACACUGCUGUGGUCGUAAAUAAUGUCAUAAAGGAAUAUUAAAAUAGUUCUGAACGAAAACGAAAAUUAAGGCACUCUGUCCUAUUGUUUCUUUUACUUUUGCGGAUGUGUUUUGUAUUAGCUUAUUUUUCUCAGGUUAUGGUGGUGUUGAAAUGGAGUAUGCAAGAGGAACAUUCGUUUUUUUAUAUCCCCCAUUUUGUACAGGUUUUGAAAAUCGCGGACGUGUACACUUGCUCAGCAAGUCAAUACAGUACUAGUUGAUUCAUAUCUAGGAUCUUGACUUCAAGAUAACAAAGGUAUAUAAACAUUGUUGCAUGAAUUGUGACCUUGUAUAUACAGUAAUAUUGUAGAGGGAGUUUGUGUUUUGGGAGGUUUUUUUCUUGAGAUUACUUUCAGGAGAACAGUACUAAUUGCAUUAGAAGUCGAGUCUACUGCUUUAGCAAGUUAUCGCGAGAAUUGAAGAUCUGUGAAUACAAUAGUGAUCCUGCCGCUAUUUGAAAACGGUAUGGUUUACGUUAGUAAAGUUUAAAUCGGUAUUGCAUUUUUACAGAAAAAAAUCUAGAUUUUUGGGUAUUUCAUUGUUUAUACUUUUUAACCAAUAUUGGGUUGGCAGUUGGGAAGAAGGGGUUGGUUCUCAAUUUUUUUUAAUUCCACAAUUUAGGAUGAAGUUAAGUAGCUGUAUUUCCGAAUUAGCCGCAGUAUUUGAAGAUCUGUAAAUGUGAUGGUGUGUUCCUGGCAAGAUUUGUUAAAAAGUUUUGCAACUUCUCAAGUCCUGGUUGAAGGUUGAAAUCAGUAGGUUAAAAUUUAUACUGAGCAACAAAAAAUCAAUAAUUUGGGUACAAGAUUCUUAAAUAUCUUAACCAAUAUGGGGUUGGCUGUUGGGAAGCAGGGUUGUUUUCCUUUUUUUUAAUUCCAAAAAUUUAGGUUGAUUGAAGUAGACCUCUGCUUUACCAAGUUACCCGCUAGAAUUGAAGAUCAGUGUGAAUACAUCCCGUAGUGCUUCUGCCGAGAAUUGAGAAUAAGGUUUCCAUUGCAAGGAUUCGCAAGUCCUGGUAGAGUCGAGCUAAGUAGGUUACUCUUUCUACAGUAAGAGAAUAUAUAGGAUUUGGGUAGCAGAACAUUGAUAACUAACCAAUAUCGGGUUGGCUGUUGGGAAACAGGGUUGGUUCUUUGUUUUUCAAUUCACUAUUUAGGUUAAUGAAGUCAAGGCUACUGUUUAACCAAAUUUCCCGCGAGAAAUGAAGAUCUGUAAAUACAAUAUCAUGUUCGUACUGAAGACUGAGAGCAAUACUGUAUGGUUUACUUUGAAGGUUCGAAAAUAUAGCAAAAUCAGUAGGUUACACAUUUUUCCAAAAAAAAACUAAACUAUUGGGUUAAACAUCAUAUAAUACUUUUACAAUAUAGGGUUGGUUACUGGGAAGCAGGGUCGGUUCUCUAUUUUUUGAUUCCACAAUUUAGGUUGUUGAAGAGGUGCAUUUCCAAAUUAGCUGCAAGUAUCAAAGAGCCACAUUAUCUAAUACAAUGGAAGUACUUCCCAAGCAUACAAGUAAUCUGCAUUCCAAGUAAGCCUCUAUAAAAUUGAAUACAGUAACCCGUUUUGGUCUCCUAGGACCCCAAGAACACUCAUAGGCUACUAUUUCUGAAUGGUGGUACAUAAAAGUGCAAGCUAGAAGUCGUGUUUUGUACAGGUUUUGAAAACCUCGUCUCAAUCUUUGCGUGCAAGAUUUCAUUAAAUGUGGGACAAGUCCUCCUUGAAUAAAGGUUGUGUAUGGCAAGACAUUUCAGUUUUACAAAGUGAAGAUUUACAAGUAUCUUGUGGGCUUAUUGAUGUGGGGUGGGUUACUCUCAUUCUUUCUGUUGAAAAUCUUUUACAUAUAGGUUACCAUAUACUCUGUUGGAUCUGCAAAAGAAACAAGAUCAGAAGACAUAUCUGAAAACUAAAUUUUAUAUAAAGCGGUGCGUUAGAUGCUCGGAAAUCUUAUUAGUCAAAACUGUGAGUCAAUUGUUCAGACUACCAUCAUUGAAAAUAUAUUUUAUUGUGUAAUCCAUUUAGUAGUGUAAAAUAGUGAUAAACAACUUUAGUCCACAAUCGUAAAAAAACUUCAAAAACUAAAUCUUGGUUGAAGUAGUAAAUUGUAAUCAAUACAUGCUUUUUGGGUGUUGCGCUUGUUUUUCUGAUUUUCUCCUCAGAACAAAGUAAAUUUCUUGAAGAGAAUGUACCUCUGAAGGAUGGCAGAAGAAUAUUUUAUUCUUAUUCAAAUUAGUUUCAUAUUUUGCUAGCAAUGUCUUCAUGAAAAACGUGGAUGCUAAAAAGUAAAAGAUGUAAAACAGGUAUUUUCAGAAUAUUCUGUUGCAUGAAUGAUUACUGUACUUUAUAAUUAUUCAAGGAUUUUUCUGAAUAAAAUUUUCAGGUUGUAUUGUAAAUGGGUUUUUUUUUAUACAGUUUCUGUUAAGGGUUGGAUGUUGAAAGAUAGGGUUGGGUUUUUCCCUUUCAUUUUGCUAUGUAGGUACAAGUAUAUCUGAUCUACUGCUUCAAGUUAAGUAUACUCCUCCUUGGUCGCAAUCAAGUACUUGGUGAUCUUGCAUCCAUUGUAAAACAAGCUCAAACUGUGAGUUACGUUACAUCAAACCAUGUCAGUCUUUGUUCUGUAUCAAAAAUUGUUUUCCCUUGUGUUCCCUGUACUUUAAACAUAACAUUGCUUGUUUGAAGAACCUUUUGCGGUUUGUGUGUUUCUUAGUGUUUAUCUUCAGAUAUAGAUCCAAAGUAAAUAAAAGUAGUACUGUGUAGUAUACCAGGCCGAUUGUUUCCAGAUGAGCGCAUAAUUCUGUGUAAUUUAAAGUCUAAUUUUUAUACUGUACAAAGUAUUUAGAAUUUUGUUGAAAUAUAUUCUUGGGGAUUUCAUGAAAUAUAUAUUACUGUAAAAUAGUGUUUGAAUUAGCUUUUAUUUAUGCAUUUUGAAAAUCUAGCAUGGGGGUUGGGUACGGGGAUGGAUUUUUCUGGUUUUUUUUUAACCUCUAGGUUGGUGUUGCCUGCACUAGCGAAGUGUCAUCCAACCUGCUGUUGCCAUAUAAUCACCACAUUGCAUUUACUCCUAAGCCAAGCACAUGUGCAUUUGAUGCUCCAUCACUAUCACACACUAACAUAAGUAUAAACUGUGAGUUGCUCACUUGUUUUAGUUUAAAUGUCUACUGUUUUAUUGUAUGGCUGUUAAAUCUCAAUUAAAAUCAAUUGUAUUGGCUGAUUACUAUAUUUCUUUCUCAAUGGCCUGUUUUGCAAAGGCUUAGAGUUUUUACUAGUAUUCUGUUAUGCAAGAAUGUAUCAUUUGCGUGUUCUUUCCAUAAAUAUAACCCUCAACCUUGGUUUAUUGCUUUAGAUAACAAAACUGUAAUACUACAUUCGCACUGUACUAAAUAUUGAUUGAAUUAGAUGUACAUUAGGUGUAUGGGGAGGGGUUUUUUUUCUUUCUGUAUUUACAGAUAACACUUGACUAUGUUGGACAAUCCACUAUAAUACAAUUUGCUUUGUGCCGUCGUCACAGCAUUGCUGUAGAUUCAGUGUUUGGUUAGCACCACCAUGUUUCUUUAUCACAGGUAUCUCCAUAGCUUUCUAACAGGUAUGAUCGUUUGUAAUAACCAUUCAACGCUAAACAAAUUCUUUUUUUCGCAUGGAUUAAUAUUGAAAGCAUUUGAUUUGUCAACGUUAAAGCAAGAUAAAAUUACCUAAGUGCAUGAAAAUUCAAGGGGGCUGGGGCGCAAUCAUAUUUCUAUUCGCUUUUCAGAAACUUACUAUACCUUCUAAUACGAAUGCAAUUCUUGUGAGUCAUUUGUCAUCUGUGUGACCUUCAUGGACUUGGUGAGCUUAACUACUGGUAAUGGUUCGGAGUUUAUUGUUGGGCAUAUAUUGAUGUGUGCUAGGCAUGUGAAGUGAUCGCGUGUUGUGCCUUGAAUAUGGAAGGUUGUUUUGAAGGAAUCUGAACUGUGUAUUAAUUUGAUUUUCAUACUAAGAACUAAGAAGUAGAAGCCAAAAGUUUAGGAUGAAGCAUUGAGAAAAUAGAAUUGAAUGUAGUUUGGAUGGAAUCUUGAAAGGGAAUCCCUCAAAUUGACAAGAAAUUGGUAGCAAGUAGGAAGAAUGUUGGCCUUUACCAUAGGAAAUCGGGACUUAAUUGUGAACCAAUAAUACGUCUACUUCUACCUGCAACAUAAUUGUAGUAAAGCAAUAAGCAAUGUCAACUAUCAGACGUUAAAUGUAGGCCACUAUAAGAAGUCAAAUCAGAAGAUGGUUUAGCAGCACUUGUUAAUAGUAUUCAAGAUAAAGUAUUUUGUAUGAACUUAAAAUAUGCCUUGGUAUUUGCAACAUGCCUUGCUUUUGUGUUUUCCCCUCCCAAGAACUUCUUUCAGGCCAUUUGCCAGUCAGUUAUGGUGGGUGUAUUUGAUCAACAAGCAUUAGUACAGUAGUACUAGGAUGAAGAUUAAUGGUGUGGAUCAAGAUAGGUUUUGAUAGAACAGUAAAGGAAGUCCCUGAGCAAGUUGUGAGGAAUUCUGCCUUUUCAAUAAUUUCAUGUGCCUCCCAGAGAUGAGUGUAGCUUCCGGAAAAAGUAAAAGUAAGCAAGUUAUUGGUAAUGAUCCAGGCACAGUGAGUGACUAAAUUACAAAAUUGAUUUUAAAAAAAGAAAAAACUUUUAAACAUUUACCUAUUUUUAUGGUUACAAAAUGGUGUUUUUUCUUGUAACAUAGCUUAAGUUUCAGAUUUGCCAUAUGGGUGGAUUGGUGUUAAGAUGCAUGAAGACAUCUGAUCUUGACAACACUGUAGGGGCAUCCCAACAGGUACAUCCCAAGUGUGUUCUGCUAGGAAGAAUGUGGGAAAGAUAUCAUUCCGACCAAGACCAGUGAUAGCAGUGGGAGGUGUGAUCUUGAAUAUAAAUAAGCUUCUCGUGUGUAGGAAAACGAAGCAGGGACUUAGUACAUCAUGCAGUUUAAGGAGGGACCACCAUCUGGGGCAUGAGAUCCCUGCCAAGAGUUAUGGAAAACUUGCAAGCAAUUUCCCCAACCAAGCCAGUUUUGAAAAUUUCUAAGUGCUUUCUAGAGACAGUUUCAGCUUCCAGAAACAGUAAGCCAGUUGUGGUAAUUAUUGCUUAGGCACAGUGACUAAAUAAAUAACAUAGUUAAUUUUUCUAUUCUUUCUAUAGUAAUCUGCUGUGGUUUAGAAAGUUGUAUUUUUCUGUGGUGUUUUUUUUUUUUUUUCUUUCGUAACAUAGCUUAAGUUUCAGAUUUUCGAUAUGGGUGAAUUGGUGUUAAUGGUGAUGCAUGACGACAUCUGAUCUUGACAACACUGUAGGUGCAUCCUAACGAGUACAUCCCAACUAGGAAGAAUGUGAUAGGUGUUAAAGUGGGAAAGAUGUGUUUUAAGAUAUCAUUCUAAGGCCAGGGAUACCAAUGGGUUGUGUAAGCAUCAGAUAUGAAGGAACAAGCUUCUUGUGUGUAGAAAAACCAGCCAGGGACCUAGUACAUCAUGCAGGUUAAGGAGGGACCACCAUCUUUUGGCAUGAGAUCCCCACAAGAGUAAUGGAAAACUUCCAAGCAAUUUCCCCAAGCCAGCUUUGCUUUCUAGAGAGGUGUGGUUUCAAGAAACUGUAAGCCAGUUGUGGUAAUUAGGCACCGUGAGUGACUUAAUUUAUAGUAAAUUUGAAAAAUAUUGUCUCUACUUUAAUCAGUUUUUGUGGCUUGCAAAAUGGUUUCUGUGUGUUCUCUUCUUUUUUUUUCUCGUAACAUAGCUUAAGUUUCAGAUUUGCCAUAUGGGUGGAUUGGUGUUAGUGGAAGUGCGUGAAGACAACUAAUCUUGACAUCACUGUAGGGGCAUUCUAACGGGUACAUUCCAGGUGUGUUCUUCUAGGAAGAAUGUGAUAGGUGUUUAAGUGGGGAAGGUAUUCAAAGACCAGGGAUUCCAGUGGGAGGUGUGAGCACAAGGGCUAUGAAGGAACAAGCUUUGUCGUUUGUAGGAAAACCAAGCAGGGACCUAGUACAUCAUGCAGGUUAAGGAGGGACCACCAUCUUCAGGCAUUAUAAUUACUGAUUGAUAGUUAAGGCAGGACCAACUUCAGGGAACCAUCAUUUCUGGUUGAUAUACAAUUAAGGCGGGACCAACAUCUAUGCGGCACCAUUGUUAUCGGUUGAUAUUCAGUUAAGGCGGGACGAUCAUCUACAGGGAGCCAUUGUUACUAGUUCACCAUUCAAUAGCAGGGAGCAACAUCUUCAGGAGCAACCACAUUAUAUACCCAACUCAUGGGUUGAAUCACACCACUGUUAAAAUAUUUCAUGUAUAUAAUUAUGCAACUACAUUUUAAAAAUGAAAAUAUUGUAAAUGAGUUUUCAUAAUUUGUUAAUGGAUGUAAAAUUCAUUUUGUCCAGUAAUUCCUUGUAAAGUAGGAAGGGUAAUGAUUUCUUUUAAUUGUCUUAAUUGAAGAACAAAACAUACUAACCAAAAUUUAAAAAAAUAAUUGCACACAUAAAAUUCAUUAGUAUAAAAAAAACUAAAAAUGCAUGAAUUGCUUUGUGCUAGUUCUGUGACAGUAAUUUAUUGUUUGCAUCUUUGGUUUAUAUCGAUUAGAAAGUAAAAGACUUCCAUUUUAUAAACAAUAUAUGUAAUAAUAAUUUACAUGAUUUAAAAUUAAACUAAAAAAUCUAAAAUCGUAUUCAGAAAAUGUAGUACUUGAGAAAGCGACCAUCCUUUUUGUACCAUUCUCUUGCUUUGAAUCACCACUGUUUUUGUUGUUGCCAUCUUUUGCUUAUAUCGAUCAGAAUUAAACAAUAUAAUUGUAAUAAAAAUAUGAUUAAAAAUUGAUUAAAUUUAAAAAUUUAAAAUCCCAUGCAGAAAAUGUAAUUUAAGAAGUUGCCAUCAUCUUCGUACCCUACACAUGAUUUUGAAUCGCCACUGUUUUUUUUUUCUGGCAUCUUGUUUAUAUCUUUCAGAAAGUGAAAAAAUUCAAUUUUAUAAAUGGUAAAAACCUAAAAUUGUAUGCAGAAAAUGUAAUUUUUGAGCAAGACAUUUUGUACUAACUCUUGGUUUAAAUGCCACAAUUUGUAUCUGGCAUCUUUUGUUUAUAUAUCGAUUGGAAAAUAAAAAUAAAAUUCUAUAAACAAUAUAAUUAUGUAAUAAUAAUUUGAUAAAAAAUUCAUAAAUUUAAAAAUCUCGUAUUGUAUGCAGAAAAUGUAUUUCUUGAGGAAGUUGCCAUCCUAUUUGUACCCAACUCUUAAUUUGAAUUGCCACUGCCUAAGUUUUGUGUAUUUAUCACUUAACAGUUACUAAUUUUAGGAAAUAUUUGUUUUAAAACUAGAAAUUAAUUUGUUCUAGACGUUAGGUGGAAAUGCUUUUUUUUUUUUUUUUGGAUUUGCUACGUUUGGAUUUGCUACGUUUGUGUACAUCAGUUAAAACAAAAUAAAAUAGGUGGUUUUUUGUUGAAAAUAUUGAUACAAUUUUUUAAAAGUUUUACAUUGUAUAGAUCGAAUACAAGGGUUUUCUUUCUGUUGUAAAUAUUGAUUUUUUUUUAAAGUCAUAUUUUAUAGAUCAAGUAGACUAAAACUCAUUGUAUAAUAAUUAAUUUUGUGGUGUUUUUUCUUUUUUUUAUUGCAAAGUAAAUUGUAAAUAUUUGUAUUUUUUAAGGUAUAAUUCUGUAAGUGUUUGCUGAUAUAGUAUUUAUUUUGGUAAAAAUACAAGAUUUCGAUGCCAUUAUGGCUAAAGAAUUAAUUGGUUUAAAAGCAUAAAUUGCUAUAUUUUAGAUUUUUUUAAAAAUUAAACACUUAAAGCUCGAAAAAGUUAAAUGUGAGAAAUGAAUAUCGUACAGUACCUUAAUAUUAUUUUAUAAUAUUAAUAUAUUAUAUAAACAUUAUUCUUUCCAGAUUAUGGAUUUCAAAUAAAUAAUUGAUUUUAAUAAUUAAAAAUUGCGGUAUGUAAAAGUUAAUUCAAUAAUAAUUUAUUAAUUUUAAUGUAAUUAAAAUUACAGUAUUAAUGCUAAUCCCAAUCACAACUGAUUUUUUAAAAGAAAUCCAGAAUGUGGAAUUUUUUUUCAAAAACAAAAAGUUCUGUAUGCAACCUAAAAUAAAAGGCUGUGUAGAAAAUUUUUAUUUUUUUCUUUUUUAAUUAAAAGUUUGAAAAAGUUAAAUGCGGGAAAUAAUAUCGUACAGUACCUUAAUAUUAUUUUGUAAUAUUAAUAUAUUAUAUAAACAUUAUUCUUUACAGAUUAGAAAUAAUAAUAAUUAGUAAUUGUGGUUAUGUGAAAGUUAAUUCAAUAAUAAUUUAUUAAUUUUCAAAAAAUACAAAUUAAUAGAGUAAUAAUGUUAAUCCUAAUCAGAACAGAUUUUUAAAAAAAUCCAGUAAUAAUGUUAAUCCUAAUCAAAACAGAAUUUUAAAAAAAAUCCAGAAUGGGGAAUUUUUGUUUUAAAAACGAAAAAUAUAAGUUCUAUAUGUAACCUAAUAUAAAAGGUUGUGUAGAAAAUUUCGAUUUAACCUACUGUAAUAUACGCUAUAUAUCGAUAAUUUAAAAAAAAAAAAGAUAUAUCUUGAUUGAAAGGGUUUGAAAAUAUUUUGUAUGCAAAAAGUAAAAAUGUAACAAACGUUAAUGAUUAUGACGUAUAUAUAUAUUUUUUAAAAUUUACUACAUAAAACUGUUGUCCAUUGAGAAUUGAGAAAAAAAUAGUAAAGUCCAUUGAGAAUGAAAAAAAAUAGUAAAGUUAAUAUUGAAUGUACCCUAAUUAAGUAUAGUUUUAAUGUCAAAAAAAUUAAAUCUUGUACUUAGGGAAACAAAAAGCAAUCUUUGAACAAUAAGUUCUUGUAACAUUUUUUGUUUAUGACAUUCUUUGGAUACAAAACCCCAAAAUUAAUAAUCUACUAUUUAGCUCCAUUUAGCACGCCAAUAUUUAAAGUUUAAAAUUAAAUUUAAGUAUUGAAAGCUAGCUAUUGAAAAAAAUUAAUACAACGUAAUUUAAAUUAAACCUAUUGUGCUUUUUUUAGUUAUGCUUCAAUUAAAUAACUUUAUUUCAAGUUUUAGCAUUUUAUGGUAAAGGAUGUGUGUAAAUAAACGGGAUUAAACUAGGAACUAAAGAAGUUUCAAGUAUUUAAAGCUAGCUAUUGAAAAGAGAAUUUAUAUAAACUAAUAUUAGAUUUUAAAGAAAAUUUAGAAAGUGAAAGUGAUUGGAAAAUAAACUAUUAAGAUGUAAUGCAACUUAAUGAUAAUGUUAGCAACUAGCUUGCAUAAAACAGGUGUAAUAUUACACUUAAAUAUAAUCCAGUUAAUCAUUGAAUAAGAAAAUAUAUGUACUGCAUUUAGUACUGCUAUUUGUUCGUAUUCAUGUCAUUUUUAAAUACAAAUUAAUCAUGCUUGCUACAGAAUACAACCAAACUUCAAAAAACAUUUAAAGAAUAGGAAUACUGUAGUAAUUGCAGUGUCUAUAUUUUUAAAUCUUAUUACAGUACUGAUAAAUUUAUUAUUUAUUUAUAUCAAAGAAAUGUUUUGUACAGAAUUAAUUUUUAAAUACUAAUGCCAGCUUUGAAUUGCUAGAAAUAAUUGCUAUGUUCUGUAAUACAAAGUCUUUAGCCUUAAAUGUGAAGUAAUAGUGAUCGGUUUAAAGCAUUUUAUUAAUGCUGAACUGCAAAAUAUGGUUUAUAAAAAACUGAUUUUUAACUUUUGUCAAAGGCCUUGCAUUGUACCAAAAAAAUCUGUGAAAUUUGUAUUGUGCAGCUAUUUAAUGUAUAUAAAAUGUUGAAAAUAUAUCUUUAAAAUUGAACAUAGAUUUAAAAAUAACCCUAUAUCAUUAAAUUAUUACAUUAUUCCAGUACAGUACUAACAUCUUUAAAUUUAAUUUAAAGUUAAUUUAUGCACUGCUUUCAUUAAAGUUUUUUUACAUUUAAAAUCUGGUUGAUAAAAAUGUGAAUUAAUAUUGUGCUAUUGUGUAUAGAAUGCUCAUAAUUUGUGUUGUAUUUGAAAGACGUGUUUUUUAAUAAUUUUUUUUUUAUCGGAUAUUUAAAAUAUAAACUUAAAUGUAAUUCAUAAACAUGUACAGUACAUACAGUCAAAUGCUUUUUUUUUCACUGAAAAUAUGCAACCAUAAUAUUUAGAAAAAUUAUUCUGUAAUUUAGGGAGGAAGUGCGGACCCCACUUUUGUGGGGCCUUAUAGGCGCCUGUCUUAGUUACUGUUAGGCUGUAAAAUAAAAAAAGGAUGCUAGGGGGUGAGACAACACCUUGGCUGGUCAGAGCAUUGGGAAAUCGCACCUCCCCCUCCUAUAAAAUAUUAUUGGCGCCAAGGAGUUAGGGUUGGGUGUCCGGCUCGCAGCAUAUCCUAGCAUCCAAAUCAAAAAAAAAAAAAAUACAUUCUGUAUUGUAUUUGAAAACUAUUUUGAUUUGGAAUAAUAAAUGUCAAAAACAAUUGGCGCAAAAAAGUA